UCUCUACUAAAAAUACAAAAAAUAGCCAGGCAUGGUGGCGCGCGUCUGUAAUCUCAGCUACUUAGGAGGCUGAGGCAGGAGAAUCGCUUGAACCCAGGAGGCGGAGGUUGAACUGAGCCCAGAUCGUGCCAUUGCACUCCAGCCUGGACAACAGAGUGAGCCUCUGUCUAAAAAAAAGAAAACGAAAAUAUAGAGCGAAUUGAACCAAAUAUAUCUUGUAUGACCU
rnacentral:lncRNA from 1 species